UUGUCAGCCCUGGAGACAGAAGUCCCCUAUCAACAGAAAGGUCACUGCAAUGCAAAGUGGCAAUUUGCAUUUCCUGCAAUGACUUGCUGGUGUGCCAGAGCCCUGACCUAAAAGGGCUACCUUUAAGCUUGAAAACGUGGUUUAGUUUCCACACCUCAUUCCCAGCCUUGUCUUAG
rnacentral:sRNA from 1 species